rnacentral:rRNA from 1 species
CGCGCUCACAGCGAGCGGAGGCGCACCUAGAGCGUACACGCUGGGACCCGAAAGAUGGUGAACUAUGCCUGGCCAGGAUGAAGCCAGGGGAAACCCUGGUGGAGGUCCGUAGCGAUUCUGACGUGCAAAUCGAUCGCGAGAGCUGAGUAUAGCGGCGAAAGACCAAUCGAACCAUCUAGUAGCUGGUUCCCUCCGAAGUUUCCCUCAGGAUAGCUGGCGCUCACGGGAUACGAGUCUCAACUGGUAAAGCGAAUGAUUAGAGGCCUUGGGGUCGAAACGACCUCAACCUAUUCUCAAACUUUAAAUGGAUGAGAGCCCCGGCUUGCUCGAAGCGGUGAAGCCGGGGGAGAAGGAUCCGAGUGCCAAGUGGGCCAUUUUUG